rnacentral:lncRNA from 10 species
GGAAGCGACUACUCCUGCAGGACCCAGGAGACACCCUAAAUACUAGAAAACUCCAAGUAUUUUUUGCAAGGAAAAGUUGAUGAUACUGAUGAUGAUGGUGAUGGUGAUGGUGGUACUGAUUAGAGUGCUGAUGGUAGUAGUCCUGGUGAGUGUUGGUGAUCAUAGCUAAUCAUCACUGAGAUACUACUGUAUUUCAAGUGCUGAGAUAGGAGCUUAAACUGUGUUCUCACAACAAAACAAAAUGCAAAUUAUUUGCUUUUUUUGCAGAUUAACAAAAUGAAGAUGAAACACAGUAAAUUACUUUUUCAAAUUACUUGACUGGUAAGGCUAGGAUCCACAUCUUGGUCUAUCUAACGCCA